GCUUGGGUGGCUCAGUCAGUUAAGCACCUGCCUUCAGCUCAGGUCAUGAUCCCAGGGUCCUGGGAUCGAGUCCCACCUCAGGCU
rnacentral:tRNA from 1 species